AACGAACGCUGGCGGCAGGCUUAACACAUGCAAGUCGAACGCCCCGCAAGGGGAGUGGCAGACGGGUGAGUAACGCGUGGGAAUCUACCGUACCCUACGGAACAACUGUUGGAAACGACUGCUAAUACCGUAUACGCCCUUAGGGGGAAAGAUUUAUCGGGGUAUGAUGAGCCCGCGUUGGAUUAGCUAGUUGGUGGGGUAAAGGCCUACCAAGGCGACGAUCCAUAGCUGGUCUGAGAGGAUGAUCAGCCACAUUGGGACUGAGACACGGCCCAAACUCCUACGGGAGGCAGCAGUGGGGAAUAUUGGACAAUGGGCGCAAGCCUGAUCCAGCCAUGCCGCGUGAGUGAUGGAGGUCUUAGGAUUGUAAAGCUCUUUCACCGAUGAAGAUAAUGACGGUAGUCGGAGAAGAAGCCCCGGCUAACUUCGUGCCAGCCGCCGCCGUAA
rnacentral:rRNA from 1 species